UCGAACGCUGGCGGCAGGCUUAACACAUGCAAGUCGAGCGCUCCGCAAGGGGUGCGGCAGAUGGGUGAGUAACACGUGGGAAUUUGCCUUUUGGUUCGGCACAACCCAGGGACACUUGGGCUAAUACUGGAUAAGCCCUUACGGGGAAAGCUUUAUCGCCAAAAGACCGGCCCGCGUCUGAUUAGCUAGUUGGUGGGGUAAUGGCCCACCGAGGCUACGAUCAGUAGCUGGUCUGAGCGGAUGAGCAGCCACAUUGGGACUGCGACACGGCCCGGGAUCCUUCGGGAGGCAGCAGUGGGGGAUAUUGGACAAGGGGCGCAAGCCUGAUCCAGCCAUGCCGUGCGAGUGAUGAAGGUCUUCGGAUUGUAAAACUCUUUUCACCUGGGAAGAUAAUGACGGUACCCGGAGAAGAAGCUCCGGCUAACUUCGUGCCAGCCGCCGCGGUAA
rnacentral:rRNA from 1 species